rnacentral:rRNA from 1 species
CGGCGUUGCUUCAAACAUGCAAGUCGAACGGAGUUAAUUUUUGAAGUUUUUGCUUUUAGAAUUAACCUUUAGUGGCGGACUGGUGAGUUAACGCGUUGAGUAAUCUGCCUAUCACAGGGGGAUAACAGAGGGAAACUUCUGCUAAUACCGCAUAAGACCACAGGAUGGCAUCAUCAAGGGGUCAAAGGUUAGAUCUGGUGAUAGAUGAGCUUGCGUAUCAUUAGCUAGUUGGUGAGGGUAAAGGCCCACCAAGGCGACGAUGAUUAGCCGAUCUGAGAGGAUGACCGGCCACACUGGGACUGAGAUACGGCCCAGACUCCUACGGGAGGCAGCAGUGGGGAAUAUUGCACAAUGGGGGAAACCCUGAUGCAGCAACGCCGCGUGAAGGAUGACGGUUUUCGGAUUGUAAACUUCUGUUCUCGUUGACGAAGACAGUGACGGUAAACGAGGAGCAAGCCACGGCUAACUACGUGCCAGCAGCCGCGGUAA